rnacentral:rRNA from 1 species
UACGAAGGGGGCUAGCGUUGCUCGGAAUCACUGGGCGUAAAGCGCACGUAGGCGGCUUCUUAAGUCAGGGGUGAAAUCCUGGAGCUCAACUCCAGAACUGCCUUUGAUACUGAGAAGCUUGAGUCCGGGAGAGGUGAGUGGAACUGCGAGUGUAGAGGUGAAAUUCGUAGAUAUUCGCAAGAACACCAGUGGCGAAGGCGGCUCACUGGCCCGAUACUGACGCUGAGGUGCGAAAGCGUGGGGAGCAACAGG